rnacentral:tRNA from 1 species
GCCGGAGUAGCUCAGUUGGUAGAGCAGCUGAUUUGUAAUCAGCAGGCCGUCGGUUCGAGUCCGACCUCCGGCU